ACAGUGCGUGGAGCCUCCUGUCCCUCCCGCCCAGGAGCCAGACCUGCCGGCUGCUUCCGGGGUGCAGCAUAGAGCCAGGACAGGCAGGGAGCCUCCCUUAGCCCUGCUGCACAGCUGACCGGGAGCCGCCCGAGAAGUUUGGUAAGUCUGCCUUCUGUCACCAUUAUUGUCCAGUGUUUGGUUGAUGGAUAAGCUUGAGGAGGCAGCUGUGAGUGGCAUUGAACUGAACACGAGUCCGCUUCAAGAUCUUGAAUAUGCUGAUGACCUUGUCUUGUUGGCACAGUCUGGUGAAUCACUGUAGCUGAUGACCAGUCUGGAUGGGCAAGAUACAGCGCACACUGAUCUCGGUAUUAAUCCAGACAAAAGGACCCAAGCCCAGAAGUGAUCUCGGGACUCCAAAUCCCUGAGCAGUAGAAUCUGGACAAGGGCAGCGAAGGGCAAACCUCAAAAGCUUUGGCGUUCAAGUUUGAUUUGAGUGAACCAUGUCAGCUGUAACCCAAUGCAUUGGAGCUAGCUGACUAGAGAAAAGAAGAGGAUUGGAAGGAGCAAUGAGUUUGGUGGCCUUCACUGGGACGAAUUAAAGAAAGAAAGCGUACAAGAUAACCAGCUGCUGUACCAUCCACUGCUAACCUGUGCUGAGUGCCAAGAGUGAUCUUUUACAAAGGGAACCCUGAGCAAUAUUAACAGGGACAUCCAUUUAGAGUUGCAGAGACAUUGAUAGUAUUAUGGCAAGGUUGCAGGUGCUAAACACAGCAAGAUCAAGGAGUGGCUUUGUGUGACUUAUUGUUAAAUUAGUCAAACCAAGCAUCUAUCAGUCAGUGGCAGAGGGAAACCUGAGACGGAACUUAACCAUCACUGAAAAGAAAUUCACAUUAGUGAAGCAUGUCAUACUAUCCUGAACAAGGUCAUAUUUUCUUUGGGAUGUAGCGGUUUAGCAUUGUAGAAGUCCUGAUCUGGCCUAAAGUUUCAUGAUUGUAUUAUGCUGCGCACCAUGGGAAUUCAGAUUUUCAUGGCCACCAAAGGGAGAUGAGUCAGAUGUUAUCAGUCCAAAAGCACAAGCCCAACCAUUUAAGUGAAAGGAGAAUCUCCAAUAGCUAUUAACAGUAUAGGGCAUAUGCAAGGUAGGUGAGCACUUUCAAUAAUAUUCAGUAUAAGCCAGUUCCAAGCAGUACUUAAGAAGCAGAAAAUCAGGGGAAAUGGACUGCAGAGAGACAGUAGUUUUGAAGCACAAUGAAGAAGAGAAUUACUGAUUUAGAGAUGACCUGAUCAACUCACUUGCAAUAGGUUUGAAUGAAUCUUUAAUGUGAGCUUUGAUUAUCUAGUUUGCUAUGCAAUAUCUGGAAACUUUGCACUGAGUGUUUGCUGAAACAAAGCUUUAGCUCAAUUUAGUGUUUGCAUUUCUGUCAGCUAAUUAAUAUUUGAACUAAUUAUUGAAUAUAGUUACAGCUGGGGGCUCUAGAAAUCUGUAGGAAAUUCUAGCAAAAUCUGAACAUUUCCCACAUAUACAUCCCCACAAAAAAUCUGUAGGUUUCACUGAAAUAAUAUUAGCACUGCAUGCUUUAAAAAAUAGCCUGUUUGAUAAUGGAUUUGGCAGACAUAUUUGUGAGAAAUGUACUGAUUCUCUCUGACAAACACUUCUAUUCUCUAUGGCUAUCUUGUCUACCAGAUGAUAAAUUAUGAUUCUCAUUUUAUGUCAUUUUUUAUAUUACAGUAGAACAUCACCACAGUGUUUUUUCUACCUUGGUGCACACUACUUGUGGAGCAUAUUAUAAAGAGAUAUUUUAUUUUAUUUUUCAAACUGCAGUCUUGUGUACGUGAACAUUUUUUAAAAGUUUUCACUUAUUUCAGACUGGAAUCAGGGGGUUCAAAUUUAGUUUCAUACAUACAAUUGCCAGCUUUUUUCUCUGCGCAUGUACAGCACCCAGCACAAAACGGGUCCCUAACCUGGAAGACCCGGUUAGAAUCAGGGCUCUAUUGCGCUAGGCAAUAUACACACAUAAAACAAAUAGAUAGUUUCUGCCAUAGAGAACUCACAGUCUAAGGCUACAGCUACACUAUGAACUAGGGGUGUAAUUCCCAGCUCCUGUCCACAUACUCACACUAGCUUGAUGAGAGUUAGCACACAUAUAAAUAGUAGUGUAUCCAUGGCAGCAUUGGCAGCAGCAGCACAUCUUAGCUGUUCUAAGUACAAACCCGCCAGAACCCAAGGGGUUCAUUUUCAGCACAACUAAGCCAUGCCGCUAUGGCUGCUGUCCAUGCUACCGCAGCUAUACUACUAUUUAUACUCACACUAGCUGUCAUUGAGUAUGUGUAUAUGAGCUGAGAAUCACACCCCUAGCUCAUAGUGUAGACGGAGAAUCUGGCGCUGCUGCAAUAAAAAUAUAGAAUUAGAUGAAUGCAAUUUAGAAUGUAUGUGCAAAUGCCCUCUGUGUGAGCACAUACACACACGGACAUUUAGCCAACAGGGCAAGACUGUAGUACAUUUACUCUGAAAAGCAUCUUACUCUGUGAGCGGUUCCAUUGGCUUCAGUGGAACAGCUUGUGGAAUAUUAUUAAUUAUUUGUGUUAUCAUAGUACCAAGGAUCCCAACGUACUAGGCGAUAAGGCAUCAAUCUCCAAGAAUAAGGAUAUCAGAAUCUGGCCCACAAUAUUUAGGCAACUGGGCAAAAGGCUUUCUCCUUUGCAGUUUGGUCACCAAAUAAACAUUGACAGAACUAAAUCUAAAUGGAUUUCAACUGGUUAUAGGUAAACUUUUAAAGGUUUGGCUUGGGUCAGCAUCCAAAUGUUGGCCUAGGAAAUUCCAAUUGUUAAGGCGUUGUUCUUAGAUGAUUUCAUGGUUUAUACAGUUCAGUAGAUCUCCUUUUCAUCUUAGUCAGCCCUUAUCAGAUCCCCUUAUAAAUAUUAAUGACUAUAUAAACUGUGUCCACCAGUUUCGAGGCCUGGUGAAGUUACUUCUGUCCUUUCUGCUAUACAUUGAGGGAGCAGAAUGCGCAAGCAGUAUUCCACAAAGGCUGGAGAUCUUCAUAUUUAUGAAUAGAGGAUCAGUGAUGAAGACAAAAGCUUCCCCAUAUUGAUCACAGGCCACUCCCUGCAAUCAAAAUAAUAAAACUAAAUAAUAUUGCAACAUUCAAAAGUCAGAGCCUGCCGAAGAUGAUCAAAUAUGUUGUUGGUGCUAGCGCUGAUAGUCAAGGCCACCAAGAAGGUGGAUUGCUAUCUGUUAGUAAGGAAAUAAUAGACGUUCUGCAGAGGGUGGAUGAGACCUCAUAUCAUGAGAAGAUAUGAGUUUUGCAGAGGGAUUUGAAGCACAUUGGGUGCUUUCCACACAUGCCACAAAAAGGCCUUCCGGGCACAGGAGGCAGCAUGGAAGAAAGCACAGUGACAAACACUGGGCUAAUGGGACUAACCAGCAACAUUUUAUGAGAUGAGCAUGCAAGCAGCAAAGCCGGAUAUUGGGAAUAUUUCUCCAUCUAUCUAGCGGAACACGGCUACUGCGGAUAUGAAAAUAUUCACUGUCUUCUCAUAUCUAGUAAUGUCAAAAUAACUGAUGAGCUGUCUAAAUUGACUACUUCUGUAGCAGCACCUCUAAAGACAUCCCAAAAGUAGCGAGUGCAUGUUCCCCACAGCUAGAUCCUUGAUUUCCUGUUUUCUGGAGGUGGCCCUUUCAGGAAGGGCAUAGAAAGACCAUUCACUGUUCUGGUGAGGUACUGCACUUGUUGGUUGCCUAGUACACCAAAGCCACCCCCCAAAAUAUCUUUCUGGAUAUUUGCAGGUGUGUUGUGUUGGUGGAGGUCAAGAGUAAAUAUGCACUUUAGCACAUUUUAUGUAACAUCAUACACGCGGUUGUUCUUGGGGAAUAAUACUUCGCACUUUUACUGCAUCUUUCACCCCAAUUGAUUUGAAAGGGACAUACGGCCUCUCUACAGCAUUAUUGUUUUGUUUCUUUGCUUACAUUUUGGAAACAUUUUGCACGGAACUG